rnacentral:rRNA from 1 species
AUUGAACGCUGGCGGCAGGCCUAACACAUGCAAGUCGAACGGUAACAGGAAGAAGCUUGCUUCUUUGCUGACGAGUGGCGGACGGGUGAGUAAUGUCUGGGAAACUGCCUGAUGGAGGGGGAUAACUACUGGAAACGGUAGCUAAUACCGCAUAACGUCGCAAGACCAAAGAGGGGGACCUUCGGGCCUCUUGCCAUCGGCUGUGCCCAGAUGGGAUUAGCUAGUAGGUGGGGUAACGGCUCACCUAGGCGACGAUCCCUAGCUGGUCUGAGAGGAUGACCAGCCACACUGGAACUGAGACACGGUCCAGACUCCUACGGGAGGCAGCAGUGGGGAAUAUUGCACAAUGGGCGCAAGCCUGAUGCAGCCAUGCCGCGUGUAUGAAGAAGGCCUUCGGGUUGUAAAGUACUUUCAGCGGGGAGGAAGGGAGUAAAGUUAAUACCUGUACUCAUUGACGUUACCCGCAGAAGAAGCACCGGCUAACUCCGUG